GGAUUAACGGGCUGGGCUGGGUGAAAGUGAAUUAUCUGAGUUUGGCUUCACUUCGGCUGAUGGCGCAAAACAAAAAUACGGAGUCGGAGAAUGAGUUAGCGCACAGGAAGCCCGAUCGUGAUUUUAAUUUGAAGCCUAAUCUGGCAGUGACGUGGCAAUUUGAUUGGCCCUGAUUAUUUUGAGCAUGUGGCUAGCUUUAGGAAGCUUAAAAAUAGUCCCUUUUAUAUAGUGGGAUAAGAUAUUUUCUAAACUAUUUCUAAGAUAUGAGUGUUUUAAAAAAUUUAACACGGGAUGUUUAGAACACGGGAUUAUGCUUAUGAGAGAGUAGCUCGGAAAUGGGCUUCGAGAUGGGUCGUCAUGAGAGAAAGGUAAAUGGGGGAGACGGCGAUUAGGUUAUUCAGAGGAUGAGAAAGCUGUGUGCGCUUUGGCUUGAGUCUCAACAAUACGUAGAUUAGGGUUAAUGGGCUGGGCUGGGAUAAAGUGAAUUAUCAGAUUGAUGGGAUUAAUGGGCUGGGCUGGGUGAAAGUAAAUUAUCUGAGUUUGGCUUCACUUCGGCUGAUGGCGCAAAACAAAAAUACGGAGUCGGAGAAUGAGUUAGCGCACAGGAAGCCCGAUCGUGAUUUUAAUUUGAAGCCUAAUCUGGCAGUGACGUGGCAAUUUGAUUGGCCCUGAUUAUUUUGAGCAUGUGGCUAGCUUUAGGAAGCUUAAAAAUAGUCCCUUUUAUAUAGUGGGAUUUUUCUAAAAUAUGUUCAUAAACAUGUGCAAAUGAACCCAACAUAAUUCAAAGAGAAACAUUCUAAGAAAACACUAAAAACGCUUUAUUACAAACAUAACACACAAGUUCAAAAUAAAAUCACUUAUAGCUUUAAUGUUAACUAAUAUAGAUUUAGAAUUUAUAUUGAAGUGGAGUCUAAGAUUAUAUUUUUUAAAACGAAUUUUCGGAUUUCAAUUUGUUUUUGAAAAAAAUCAAUAUAAUAAUUUUAAAAUAGAAAAUUCAGAAAAGUUUCAACUUGAAAAAAUUGAAGACAAUUUUUAUUAUUUAUUUAAAUAUUUAUUUGUAUUUAAAUAAAGUAAGAAUAUAAUUGUUGUUUAACUAUUUAAUGAAACUUUUUUUUGUUUAUUUUCUUUAUUUUGCUCUUUUUGGGAAACAAAAAAUUUAUGUGUGUUUUUGGGAAAAUUUGCCCUAUUUGAAACUCCUAGGCUAGAGUAAUUAUUGAGAUAAAUGACAUAUUUGAGUUGUUGCUUUUUUGAAUUUUUUUUUCUGUGAAACGUAUGUUGUGUCAUAUAUACGUUUUAAAUUAUUUAAGUUUCUAUUUAAACUAUUUAUUCAUAUAAAAAAAAUUUCCUAUUUCAAAUUGAUAGAUCACAUAGGCUUGUCUUUCGAAACAAAAAGUUAAAAAAAAAAAACAAUUAUAAAAAUCUGAAUUAUCCUUAAAAAUGUAUGAGGGAACAUUAUAAUGUUUUUAACCAAAAAAAUCUAAAAUGCAAAUACUCAACCAACUGUGUCAUAUGAUAUUGAUAUCUCUCUAUUUGAAGAGAAACGGAGAAUGGGAUGCAGCUUGAUGCCAGACUGGGCAAUUGCUGGUGUAUAGUGGGCCUUAAUGGGCUUUACUUUUACUGAGAACUCUAUCCGAAAAAAGUUACGACCCGGGAAAAUCCAGAAUAACUAACUAACCCUCGCAAACGCUCCGGCGUCUCUUCUUCCCAUCUUUGUUUGUUUCAGAUUGAAGGAGGCAAAUUUUGGCUUCUUCUUCAGUGAUCAUCAUAAUCAGAUACAAUGUCAGCUUUGUUCAAUUUCCAUUCGUUUUUGACGGUGGUGCUGCUUGUGAUCUGCACUUGCACUUAUCUCAAGAUGCAGUUCCCUGCCAUUCUCGAGCAGAAAACUGGGUUUCGUGGAUUCUUUUGGAAAGCUGCUAGAAUAGGCACCCCCCACUCCCUUGGAGCUCAGAUCUCUUAUUCUGUUUCCUAAUUCCUUUCUAGAAAACAACAAUCCCUCUUCAUAUGCUAGGCUUUAUAGGAGCAAGGAUUAGAGUUAUCUGGUUCCAAUCCUUAAAUAAUACUUUGGUGAGCGUUUGAGCCCUUGGAUGUCGGUGGGAUGCUUCAUGAUGGGUGUCUCCAUCAUUUUCUUUUGAGUCUCACAGAACCAGUUCAUGUCUUCAUUGAGAUAUUCUGUAUGCAGCAAACGCAUUCUAAGGUUUUGGAUGAAUGAAACUGAAAGAGUAGAAUAUAUUAUAUUUGGAUUUUGGGUUUGGUCUUGUAACUGUUGAAUUGUUUUCAUGUGGAAACUUAACUAUAAGCGACCCAUCAAUCAAAUACGAAUCUUUGUCGCAGACACACGAAUGUGAUGAAUUUUUCCCCUAUCCUUUAUGAUUAUGGGGCCGUUACGUACCA